UAAUACGAAGGGUGCAAGCGUUACUCGGAAUUACUGGGCGUAAAGCGUGCGUAGGCGGUUUGUUAAGUCCGUUGUGAAAGCCCUGGGCUCAACCUGGGAAUUGCAGUGGAUACUGGCAAGCUAGAGUACGGUAGAGGAUGGUGGAAUUCCCGGUGUAGCGGUGAAAUGCGUAGAGAUCGGGAGGAACACCCGUGGCGAAGGCGGCCAUCUGGACCAGUACUGACGCUGAGGCACGAAAGCGUGGGGAGCAAACAGGAUUAGAUACCCUGGUAGUCCACGCCCUAAACGAUGCGAACUGGAUGUUGGGCACACUUAGGUGCUCAGUGUCGAAGCUAACGCGUUAAGUUCGCCGCCUGGGGAGUACGGUCGCAAGACUG
rnacentral:rRNA from 1 species